CGUCAAUCUCAUGCAAAAAAUGAUAGACGAACAAUCACUACUGUUUGCAUGUUCUUGGCUGGAAAAGUCGAAGAAACACCUAGGCCUUUGAAGGAUGUCAUCCUGGUUUCUUACGAGCUUAUU